UCUCACUUAGGCGCUAUGACGUCGCGAUGUAAUUUAAUGGCGUUUCUGUCAACAAUCUUUGAAGACAAAAUUCUCAAAUCUCCGUGGUUCGAUUUCGCUAUUUUUUUCACGAAUAGUUAAAUAAAAGUAUAAUCUUUAAUUCUAUCCAGCCGGCCCCCCUCGGCCUCUCAACCGUUUUCGAGAUAUUCACCGUUGAAUAUAGCCCUUUGUAAAAUAUGCUGCCUUGUCACUCAGAUCGAUAAUGAACUGCUAUUAUUAGCUUUUUUCUAAAGAAAUUUGAUAUACUAUAGAAGUUUCGAUAUAUUACGGAUUUAUAUAUAUUGGUUAAAGUAUGUAAAAAAUUAAAGCACUUCUGUAACAAGAUUUUAUUGGUGAAAUUCAUUGUUUGGCUGAUGUUUUUAUAGAUUUGUGAUUUUGGCUAGAGGAUUCUAUUUUUGUCAAUGAUUUCGUCUGCAAGAAUUAAGCAUCAUCAUUAAAUUUUGAGUUCUAAACUUGUUCACUUCUCUUGUAAUGUUACUGAUAUGAUAUGACUUGACAUAACUUCUGGAUUUUCAAAACUAACCCAUGCAGUGACAACAAGAACAGCUACUCAUCCACCCGUUUCAAAAAUGGCUGGUAAAGAUGCUGGUUUAGAUGCUCCUGGUUUAGAUGCUAAAUUUGUCCCUCAUCCCAAUUGUUGCCAAGGCUAUGUCUGUACUUCAUGCUGGUAAAAAAGACAAUCUGAUUUAUAAUGCUGCUCGAUGCUUUGGAGAACAACGCCAUGGAAAUGUUGGUCCUAUAAUGCCAUUGGAUAGAAUGCCCUUUAUAGCAGUGAUGGCCCACUUGGCCUUUUUUAACAGUAUUUUGUAUAAAUGCUGUUACACAACUAAUUCAGAUAAAGUUUGAGAAAUGGUGGUUCUUAUGCACCUAUCAAUGUUAAGCCCCAGAGAGGGGGGUCAAAUGCCCCACUGUUGGGCAAUAAAUAUUGGUCAAAUUCCCUACCAUUUUGCAAUAAAUUGCAAUAAAUACUAUAUUAAUAAAAGUAAUUUUGAUUCAAAUUGCCCUAACUUGGGCCCAAAUGCUAAUCCAUAGUUAACUAUGGCUAAUCAAAAUCCCUGGGGUGGAGAUGCAAUUAAUGAUCAAAUACCCCACAUAUGCCCCCCCCCCCCUUUGGGAGUUAACAUUGAUAGGUGCAUUAUAUGCAGGUUAUUUUUGUAUUCUCAUAUAAUGUACCUUAAUUAAAGUAUCAGCAGCAUGUUAUUGUGGGACCAUUGAUCAAUAUUAUUGUGUAUAAAUAGAC